AGGCAACCUGCUAGGUGUCUCUUCACAUUGUGGAAGCUUUAUUUGUUUGCUUUUUGCAAGAAAUGUUGUUGCUGCUCAUUGUUUGGGUCUGCACUGCAUUUAUGAGCUGUAACACCACAAAGGUCUGCGGCUUGAUUCCUGAAGCCAGCAAGAACACAAACCCGCUGGGAGAAACAAACAACUCCAGACGCGCUGCCUUUGUGAGCUGUAACACUCACAGCAAAGGUCUGCAGCUUCACUCCUGAAGUCAGUGAGACCAUGAGCAAACCCAGCAGAAGGAAGAAACUCUGGACGCAUCUGAACAUCUGAAGGAACAAACUCCAGACACACCAUCUUUAAGAACUGUAACACUCACGUUUAGAAAACGUGAAGGCAGAACUUGUGAAAUAAAACUACAGCAUCUUCUUGUAACCAUCAUAUUAUAAGGAUAGCCCCAAUCUGAAGAGCGCCCAAGAACCCAGCCAUCAUAACUGAUGAUGGGAUUAGGGGCAUUAAUUCAGAGAUGAUGUACCUGAGCUGCUGUUCGACUGAGUUCCACAGCAAUGUCUCCUCCAGUGUUCCCAAGACCGAUCACCAAGACGCGCUUGCCCUGAAAGCCUUCUGGGAUCUUGUAUUCUUGACUAUGCAGGAUCUGACCUUUAAACUUACGAAUUCCUGAGAGGAGUGAAGGAUCAGAAAGUCUGAAAUAUCUAAAGUUAUAAUUUCUCACUAUGCAGGGAUAGGGUCUGUGGAAAAAGGGAAGUCCCACAACUAUGGCAGUCCUUUGCUUAUGCUGCUUGUGGCAGGAAGUAGAAAAAGCAUAUAACCUCCCUCUCCCUGGGAUGCUGUGAGCCCAGAUGUGGAUAUAGUACAAACUGCCUUGUUAAAAACAUAGGAGAUCUUGAAUUCCAUAUGAGUGUGCCCUUUUAAAGCAGUUGCUUCAGGAAAUCAAACUCACAAAUAAUGAGACAUCUUAUAUACUAUGCUGAAUAUCCUGGGCAAAAAGUAGAUUGUUUCUAGUUCAUCUACAUUAAGUAUUAUAUCCAACUGUGGCUUCUCCCAGGACCAUUACACUUGUAUCUAAUACCUACUUGACAUCUUCUUUUGGAUACUGAAUAAAGAUCUUGAACAAACAAAUAAAAGCAGUAGGCUGUUGAUGCAUGUUAUUUUGCCCAAUAGAUAUAUUCUAUCAGAAUGUGAUUUGUAUAUAUAAUAUGUUUACAUAUUAAAUUUUGAUUCAAUUAAAAUUCUUCACAGGGGAGGUUCUGUGGUAAGUUCUUUCGUAAAUGAAGUAAUUAUUCUAGUGAUUUAAGUUCAUGUUACUUGUACUUUAUGCUUUAUUAUUGAUGUGUUAUUAUGCAGUAUGCUUAUUUGUGUUUUAUUCUUAUGUUAUUUACACUUGUUUCUGAUUGAUCUUUCAUGAAGCUCCUAAUACUCUGUCCAUAGAAGCACAGCUAUAAUGAUAUUUACAUAUGUAAGGAAGACUACAAAUAUUUCUUCUUUUGAUUCAUUUUUGGUGAUUAUCUCCUUGGCAGACAUAAAAGACUGAUGUGGUUUGGCUGUGUCCCCACCCAAAUCUUGAAUUGUAGCUCUUAUAAUUCUCACGUGUCAUGGGAGGGACCCAGUGGGAGGUAAUUGAAUCAUGGGGGCAGGUCUUUCCCAUGCUGUUCUCCUGAUAGUGAAUAAGUCUCAUGAGAUAUGAUGGUUUUAGGAAUGGGAGUUCCCUUGGGCAUGCUCUCUCUCUUGUGUGCCGCCCUGUAAGACGUGACUUUGCUCUUCCUUCGCUUCUGCCAAGAUUGUGAGGCCUCCUGAGCCAUGUGGAACUGUGAGUCAAUUAAACUUCUUUCCUUUAUGAAUUACCCAGUCUUGGGUGUGUCUUUAUUAGCAGCAUGAGAAUAGACAUGAACCAUGGAUUCACAUAAACUAAGAAUGGUAAGAAUAGUGGAAACAGGGUGUUUACAGCAGCAGCAGCAACAAUGGAAAUUGUGGGAGGUGACAGAGGAAACAAUUGUGAUGAGGCCAGUGAUGGUCAGAAUCACAGAUGAGAUGAAGCAUUGACAAAGAAUCUGAAAGAGA